GGUUCGUUGGUCUAGAGGUAUGAUUCUCGCUUAGGGCAACACCCAACAGCAUCUUGCGAGAGAUCCCGGGUUCAAUACCCGGACGAACCC